GUGGGGAUUCUGGACGAUCGACAGGAGAGGAGCAAAAGGGGGUGAAAACCCUAACUCUACAAAUCCUCAAGAAUUGCUAGAAAUCUUAAGAAAUCGAAAGUAUAAUCAGCCAAUUCUAAGCUCCUACACCUGUUCUUCGAAGUGGCGUGAAGGAAGAAGGUACAAGCACUAGGAAAACGGGAAGCACGCAAGAUCGAGGUAAAUCCUCAAUUUAAGGCGACUUGGAGAAUUGGAGCGAGCAUGUGUUCAUGAUAAGUAUACCAAGCGCUUCCGCUAGUUCGCACAAAUGUUUUGGAUCAAAACUUCUAUUUUGUACAACUUGUUAGUAGGCAUACAUUUUAACUCUUGAUGUCUUGGUUUUUCUUUUAGUAGUGAUGUUGAAUAAAGUGUAGAAAGGCGUUUGUCUUACUUAUGUUUAAAAACAGGGGAAUGUCCGUUUUACGGACGGGUCAUGCCCAAAUUUUGUUAAAAUCAUGUGUUAAUGGUAUUGGUGUUUUUACCCUUUAA